UAAUUUCAGUUUGGGUUUUCUUUUUUACUUACACUAGUAACCAUAUGUGUUUAUGGGGAACAGCAUGAUGAUUCCAUACGUGUAUCCAUGGUGCAGUGAGCAAAUCAGGCAAAUUAACAUGGUCACGCCACCUCCUACUUACUUCUUUGUGGGCUGAAUAGGAUCGCGUACGUGUACCACAUUUUUGAAAACCACUCACUCAUGGGCAUGUGUGAGAAAUGCCCUCAUCCGUCCAAUGCCAAAGGAUGGACACGUGGAGACACGGGGGACUGGCACAUCUUCACAUUCAUCAUGUGAUUCACCAGGAUGUCAAGGUCCAGAAUGUCCUACUGACUGAGAAUGCAGAGGUCAAACUUGGUCUGUCAGGCUGAUGUGGACAGCACAUUUAAGAUUCUCAGACAGCCUGUUGUCUAGCUGUGAAGAUCUACCAGCACCACCUUACAUCUUUCAGGGGUCUUAAAAAGAGGUCUUGCAACCCAGAUUCAAAGGGAGCUUACGAACUCUCAUUGGGAGGAGUGCUGCGAUAUGCUUGCAUGGAAGGCAUUAUUGGUGGCUGUCUUUGGGAACAAUAUACCACAGAGCUGAAAGGAUCUUAGACGUCAUAGGAUCCUACUUAUUUUGGACCAAAAAAACCACUUUAGAGAUUAAGAAAUAAAAGGUGAAAAAGAAGAAAGGACUUGACUACAAUCAUAAAGCAAGUUGUUAGCAAAGCAAGAAAGAGAAAUCCCAUAUUAAGGUGCAAAGUGCUUUCUAUUACCUAUCCCCUAUGCUUAGUUGAAAAAAAAACAAACACCCGCUUUAACAUACAUUAUGAGGCUUAUUAAAGAUGAAUCGUCUUUGAAAAA